GGGGAUGGUGGGUCUGAAGGGCGCCGCCGGCUUCCAGGGCCCCGCCGGCCCCGAGGGUGAAGGCGGCUCAGCGGGUCCCCCAGGCCCUCCUGGCCCCAUGGGGGAGCCCGGCCAGCCGGGA